rnacentral:rRNA from 1 species
CAGUCGCCGCGGGAAUACGAAGGGGGCUAGCGUUGCUCGGAAUGACUGGGCGUAAAGGGCGCGUAGGCGGUUUGCCAAGUUAGAUGUGAAAUUCCCGGGCUUAACCUGGGGACUGCAUUUGAUACUGGCAGGCUUGAGUGUGGAAGAGGGUCGUGGAAUUCCCAGUGUAGAGGUGAAAUUCGUAGAUAUUGGGAAGAACACCGGUGGCGAAGGCGGCGACCUGGUCCAUAACUGACGCUGAGGCGCGAAAGCGUGGGGAGCAAACAGGAUUAGAUACCCCGGUAGUCCCUGUCUCUUAUAC